rnacentral:rRNA from 1 species
GGGCAUAAAGCGCACGUAGGCGGAGUCAUAAGUCGGUUGUGAAAUCCCGGGGCUCAACCCCGGAACAGCGGCCCAUACUGUGAUUCUGGAGCACGAAAGGGGAGAGUGGAACUUCUGGUGGAGCGGUGAAAUGCGUAGAUAUCAGAAGGAACACCGGUGGCGAAAGACUCUGCUGGUUCGUUGCUGACGCUGAGGUGCGAAAGCUAGGGGAGCAAACUUUUUUAGAUACCCCGGUAGUCCUAGCCGUAAACGAUGGGCACUAAGUAAAGGGGUUUU